rnacentral:rRNA from 1 species
AACAGACGAGGAGCUUGCUCCUCUGAUGUUAGCGGCGGACGGGUGAGUAACACGUGGAUAACCUACCUAUAAGACUGGGACAACUUCGGGAAACCGGAGCUAAUACCGGAUAAUAUGUUGAACCGCAUGGUUCAAUAGUGAAAGAUGGUUUUGCUAUCACUUAUAGAUGGACCCGCGCCGUAUUAGCUAGUUGGUGAGGUAACGGCUCACCAAGGCAACGAUACGUAGCCGACCUGAGAGGGUGAUCGGCCACACUGGAACUGAGACACGGUCCAGACUCCUACGGGAGGCAGCAGUAGGGAAUCUUCCGCAAUGGGCGAAAGCCUGACGGAGCAACGCCGCGUGAGUGAUGAAGGUCUUAGGAUCGUAAAACUCUGUUAUUAGGGAAGAACAAACGUGUAAGUAACUGUGCACGUCUUGACGGUACCUAAUCAGAAAGCCACGGCUAACUACGUGCCAGCAGCCGCGGUAAUACGUAGGUGGCAAGCGUUAUCCGGAAUUAUUGGGCGUAAAGCGCGCGUAGGCGGUUUUUUAAGUCUGAUGUGAAAGCCCACGGCUCAACCGUGGAGGGUCAUUGGAAACUGGAAAACUUGAGUGCAGAAGAGGAAAGUGGAAUUCCAUGUGUAGCGGUGAAAUGCGCAGAGAUAUGGAGGAACACCAGUGGCGAGGGCGACUUUCUGGUCUGUAACUGACGCUGAUGUGCGAAAGCGUGGGGAUCAAACAGGAUUAGAUACCCUGGUAGUCCACGCCGUAAACGAUGAGUGCUAAGUGUUAGGGGGUUUCCGCCCCUUAGUGCUGCAGCUAACGCAUUAAGCACUCCGCCUGGGGAGUACGACCGCAAGGUUG